rnacentral:rRNA from 1 species
UACGUAGGGUGCAAGCGUUGUCCGGAAUUAUUGGGCGUAAAGAGCUCGUAGGCGGUCUGUCGCGUCGGCUGUGAAAACCCGGGGCUCAACCCCGGGCCUGCAGUCGAUACGGGCAGACUAGAGUGUGGUAGGGGAGACUGGAAUUCCUGGUGUAGCGGUGAAAUGCGCAGAUAUCAGGAGGAACGCCGGUGGCGAAGGCGGGUCUCUGGGCCAUAACUGACGCUGAGGAGCGAAAGCGUGGGGAGCGAACAGG